GAUUAUUUUGUGCAUCAACGAUUGUGUUUCGUAUGGUAUAUGAUGGCGGUGUAGUAUAUACUUAUUUGUUAAGUAUAUGGGCAUCUUUAAUGGUUGAAUGUAUCAUGUAUUACUUAUUUAAGUGUGUGGACUUGUAUUGUGCAUGUAUUGAAUUUUGUGAAAGAGCGAGAUGUUGUAUCAUAUUCACAUAACAAGCAUGUUAUUAAGUUGUAUAUUUUGUAUGGUUAGUUGUGGUGCUUUGGACUAGCCACGUUAUUGAUGCCCCGCCUCAGGGCAAAUUUUACUAUUAUCCGCACCUGCCACGGAUCUGCUGUGGGAAAGGCCAAACCCACCCUAUUAGGAUCGGGACGGGUUAGGUACCCGAUAGGGUGAAGUAAAUUACCACCCCUAGACAAGGAGAGAGAAAGUAAGAGUCGGAAUUGGUGACGAGUGAAACAAACCUAGGGCCAAUGAACAAUUGUUUUGGUUCAAAUAAAUUACCAUAUCUAAUUAAGUUGGCAAUACUUGCUCUUCUUGCUACGACAAACAUAUAAUGGAGCUUGAAUUUAUCAUAAACCUAAAUAUUAAUA
rnacentral:lncRNA from 1 species